rnacentral:lncRNA from 1 species
GUGUUCCAUCAUGUCUCUCUUGAGAUCCAAACUCACUAGUUCUAGGACUGGGAACUACGAUAUACCCAAAAUGAUUACUCAGAAUCAUUACUCCAACCUCAAUCUCAGUUCCAUCAACAAAGACUAUAACCAAUAGUCUUGACUUACCUCUAUGUGAGGUUUCACUAAACACACCCCUAUCACGACCUAUAUUCUGAUUUCAAUAACUUAUAACCUAUAGCUCUGAUACCAACUGUGACAGCCCUCAAAUCCGGGGGUCUGGAUUUGGUGCCACUAAAACAAAAAUCAUUUAAAAACCUGU